CUGCAUUUACAGAAAAAUCAUGACACUUGUAUGUGUCACUGUCAAAUGUGGUAUCGAAAAAAUAUAAAUGUAUAUUUACGGCUGGCAUACUCUAAUAGGAUCUAUAUUUUUCUUAGCUUGCGGAGUAAUCUUACCAAUUUUAGUGCCCCAUGGACCCAAUAGACCGUUGGUAUUCAAAAUAUAUCUUUAAAUCCUUUCAGUAAUCUUAUUUCAGAAUUAUACGUUUAAUGUUAAUUAUGAUGGCAUGUUGUUGUUGGUUGUUCUGGAUAAUAGCAAAUCUUGCUCAAAUGCAUCCACUUAUAGGACCUAUUUUGGAACCACAUUCAAUCCUUUUAAUGCACAAAUAUUGGGGAUAUGUUUUAAAAAAUGAUAGCGGUUAAGUAAACAAAUAUGUAUAUAUUGAAAAUUUAAUAAUAUAUGUAAUAUUAUGACUUGAUGGAAUAUUGUUUAACAUAAUUCUGUACUUGGCCCAAUUAAUUGAAUAUAAUAAAGUGAAGAAUUUGGAAAUUA